UACAGAGGUCUCAAGCGUUUGUUCGGAUUCAUUGGGCGUAAAGGGUGCGUAGGCGGCGCGGUAAGUCGGGUGUGAAAUCUCGGAGCUUAACUCCGAAACUGCAUUCGAUACUGCCGUGCUUGAGGACUGGAGAGGAGACUGGAAUUUACGGUGUAGCGGUGAAAUGCGCAGAUAUCAGGAGGAACACCGAUGGCGAAGGCAGGUCUCUGGGCAUUAACUGACGCUGGAGGAGCGAAAGCAUGGGGAGCGAACAGG
rnacentral:rRNA from 1 species